AGUGAACGCUGGCGGUAGGCCUAACACAUGCAAGUCGAACGGCAGCACAGUAAGAGCUUGCUCUUACGGGUGGCGAGUGGCGGACGGGUGAGGAAUACAUCGGAAUCUACUUUUUCGUGGGGGAUAACGUAGGGAAACUUACGCUAAUACCGCAUACGACCUACGGGUGAAAGCAGGGGAUCUUCGGACCUUGCGCGAUUGAAUGAGCCGAUGUCGGAUUAGCUAGUUGGCGGGGUAAAGGCCCACCAAGGCGACGAUCCGUAGCUGGUCUGAGAGGAUGAUCGGCCACACUGGAACGGAGACACGGUCCAGACUCCUACGGGAGGCAGCAGUGGGGAAUAUUGGACAAUGGGCGAAAGCCUGAUCCAGCCAUACCGCGUGGGUGAAGAAGGCCUUCGGGUUGUAAAGCCCUUUUGUUGGGAAAGAAAAGCAGCAGGUUAAUACCCCGCUGUUCUGACGGUACCCAAAGAAUAAGCACCGGCUAACUUCGUG
rnacentral:rRNA from 1 species